rnacentral:sRNA from 1 species
GACAACAGUCCUCAUCGUGCCAAGGCCAGCCAGCUUCGGACACGCACCGUUCAGGGCACGAGGGUACCUGUCUGGGAGGAGACACUCACCUAUCACGGCUUCACCCGCCAGGAUGCUGAGUGCAAGACCCUUAGGUGAGGAUCUGGCCUGGGCCACCUGGGGGUGGAGCAGAGGGAUGGGGCUGGCCUGGCCAGGUCUGACCUGGGCGGCCACCAGGCUGUGUGUGUGCGAGGACCCAUGGCUGCAGCGACAGCGGCAGGCACCUUCCCUGGGGGAGCUGCGGGUGCCCCUGAGGAAGCUGGUGCCAAACCGAGCCAGGAGCUUUGACAUCUGUCUGGAGAAGCGGAGGCUGGUGAGUGGGGCUGGAGCACAGAGUGGGACUGCAGAGGCCAGGAACCUUGUGAUGGGGGGAGCUGGAGGGGAGGAACAGGGAGGGGGAUCUGGGCAGCAUCUGGCCAGGAUGACCGGGCUCUCUGCCCUUUCAGGCCAAGAGGCCCAAGAGCCUGGACACAGCCUGCGGCAUGUCCCUCUAUGAGGCGGGUAGGACAACUGGGCUGAGCAGAGAUG